ensembl:lncRNA
CGCAUUUGGCUCCCAAACUCUGGAAUAGAAUUCCUGAUAAUUUUCGGGGUUCAGACACAUUUUAUCUGUUUAAAUCUAGAUUAAAGACACAUCUCUUUGACCAAGGCAUUCAAAUAUUGCAUCUCAUGCAGUUAUAUCUGAUCAAAUGUGCAUUAUUAUUCUUAGCUUGGGUUAAGCAAAUUAAUUUUACUUAUUUGGAACAGCAGUUACGCUAAUUAUGUCUCUGUUUGUUUCUCUGUUUUUGCCACAAAAUGUAGGAUUUACACAAGCUUCAGUUUGGAUUCAGAACACCUUAGAGGAGAUGAUGUCAACCUCUCAGAGGACCUCAGAUGAUGCCAAACCUGAAUCAACAUACAGAACUACCACUACCACCAAUUUUUAUUUAUUUAUUUUACUUGCCAUGAAACUCUUUUUGCAAAAACAGAGUCUGGUGAUGAUGCGGUACCUCCUCCUCCUGCCAUCGAUGAGACUCAGAACAUCUACUGGGUAUGGGCCAUCCUUGACUCCAGACGACGGGGUCCACAGCUGGAAUACCUUGUGGACUGGGAAGACU